rnacentral:lncRNA from 1 species
ACAGUUAACCAGGGCACGCCCUGAGAAGGGACAGGGUUGGGGCUACAGCCUUGGUAUUGGGAAGGUUCAGUUCUUCACCCUAUAUUGAACUUUCUUAUGAGGUCAAGAUGUGUAGAUGAAGGUUCUGGUCUGAGAUCUUAAAAAGGGAGAAGUCUAAUAUCACCCACACAUUCCUGUCUUCUUUCCUUCAACUGUGCCCUCAUACUGGCUCCUUGAUCUGAGUUAUAUCUAUCCUAUUCAAGUAGGAGCCUCUGAAACUCUCUCUCAAUCCCUGGACAAGAUCGUAAGUAAAAAUAACAUUUCAUCCUAGGAGGCACAGAGAGAUUAGAGCCACCCUUAAGGAUACAAUGGAUAUGGAGCUGGUGGUCCCCAUCAUGUCUCCAUUCAGUUCACCAACAUAGACCCCAAAGAAAGUCAAGGGAUCCUGGAGGAUAGCUAUAAAUGACAGAAAGUAAGAUAAGGUAUUUUUGCCGGAACAAAUUAUUAAAUAAUUUGACCUCAAGUUUCUGAUAAGUGGUCAUGGAUUUGGCAAAUGCAUUUCUUUGCAGCCCAAUUACAAAAGACUGUAUCUCUGUCAUGAUGAAGACCAGGAACAAUUUUCAUUCACAUGGAAGAGACAUCAAUAUUUGCUCUCUGUCACGAUACAAUCUGAAGAAAUCCACCCUGCCUCGAUAUCUCUGGAAGGCUGAAUAUUGAUCCCCCUUCCCCACUCAAAGGUGUCCAUGUCCUAAUCCCUGAAACCUGUGUCUAUGUCACCUUCCAAGGCAAGAGAAUUUUACAAAUGUGAUCAAGCUAAGGCUCUUGAGAUGGGAAGACUAUCCUGGGUGAUCUGAGUGGGCCUGAUGCAAUCACAAAGAUCCUUUUUGCUCCUGCAGGUAAACAUAUCCAGUAUCAAAUACUUCAGUGGCAAAACCCUGCUCAGGCUGAGAACUCAAAAGAAGCCAAAAUCCAGUAAACUCUGAUACUGUCAAAAUACUCCCUUAUAAAAGAGAUUCAAGGACACUCAUUCCUACAAUGAAGUCUGGGCCCCCAGUCCAUCUUCCUCCGCUCCCCAUUCCCUGCCCUAGCAUUUUCUCUGGAAUGACUCCAUCCAACAGAACUUUGAGAAUUUGACUCCAAAACUCUGAAGGGCAGGUCAAUAGGUUGAACUGCCAAGAUUACAAAGAUGAAGACACAAUCUGCCUUCAGGGACGCCAUGACAGGAUUGGAAGAAAACACAGAUAAUGACAUGAUAACUGAUGGCAUAACUGAGGAGAAGAGGGAGAUGGGUGAUGCAGGCAACACUUGCCAGUCAUGGGCAGAGGAUGGAAAAUCCAGACAUGCUAGGAACACAAGCAAAGCCUCAGGAAAACCUACUGACUUAGCCCACUCCUCAAAAGACAGACUCUGAGGUGGAGAUUUAUAUGCAAGACGUUUACAAAGCAAUUCCCAAUGCUUCUUGGGAAUUUGCUUAGAGGGAGGAGUUGAACUGUGAAGCAGUUGCAAGAGGCCUUUUAGUAGGAGCUGGGGAACCAGGAUGGCCUUUAGAGUCGGGGCAAUGAGCGCCUUUGUGCUUCUCAUCCUCAACCAGUCAUUGAAGUGAGCUUCUGCUGGGCUGGCGAUGUGACCUGGAGCAAGAGGGACU